GUGGGGAAUCUUAGACAAUGGGCGCAAGCCUGAUCUAGCCAUGCCGCGUGAGCGAUGAAGGCCUUAGGGUUGUAAAGCUCUUUCGUGGGGGAAGAUAAUGACUGUACCCCAAGAAGAAGCCCCGGCUAACUCCGUGCCAGCAGCCGCGGUAAUACGGAGGGGGCUAGCGUUGUUCGGAAUUACUGGGCGUAAAGCGCGCGUAGGCGGACCAGAAAGUUGGAGGUGAAAUCCCAGGGCUCAACCUUGGAACUGCCUUCAAAACUCCUGGUCUGGAGUUCGAGAGAGGUGAGUGGAAUUCCGAGUGUAGAGGUGAAAUUCGUAGAUAUUCGGAGGAACACCAGUGGCGAAGGCGGCUCACUGGCUCGAUACUGACGCUGAGGUGCGAAAGCGUGGGGAGCAAACAGGAUUAGAUACCCGGGUAGUCC
rnacentral:rRNA from 1 species